rnacentral:lncRNA from 1 species
UGUUCAUCAUGAAACAUUAAUUGCAAUUUUGAAUUGUCAAUAUUUUCUUCGAGUAUUUUCUUUGCUACCAUAAUGGAUUUCGAUCUGGUUUUUUAUUAUAAUCUCCUUUUCUUCAGGAGCAUAAACUUUUGAUGAGAUAUUUGAAUCUUGCAUUGGAAGAUUUUCAGACAAAGUACUCCAAAUAGUAACAAUUUGUUUGGCUAGAAAAUAUUCUUCAGUAAAAACAGUGUUAUUGAAUUUUUUUCUUCAGCAAUCCAUUCAGGAAGAAUGGUUGAGAAUUCAAUUUUGACAGUUUUGACUUUGAAUUCAAAAAGAUGAUCAAUAACUCUUUGGAGGGAGCUAUUAAAAAGCAAGAUAUCGGUUUUUGUUUUUGAAUCAAUGUAUAUUGAGGAAAUAAAUCCACAUUCAAUCAUUUGACGAAUUUCUUCAUUACUAACAUUAAUGAUUGAAAUACAUUUGAGGGUAAAAUGAAGUUUAUGAUAGCUUUCACAAGGGUCAAAACCAUUGAAAUAGAAGUUAUCAAAUAUUUUGAUUAUAAUAUUUUUGAAUGUUUGAGUACAAGUAUGAUCUCUAUUGAUAAUAUUUUGAUAAAUGUCAUUAAAGAGUGGUAAAACUUUCUUCAUAAGACCUUUUCUAUUCUUCUUUAGGAAGAAUGAAUUUUUGAAAGAUAAUUAUUUUGAAG